rnacentral:lncRNA from 1 species
UUUCAAGGUGAACCACAUUGUGUAAGCCCAACUUGCCUAGUUGGUGAAAACAUUAUAAGGAUAGAGAUAUUCUGUUUGGGAGUGACUGUCAUCAACCAGUUAAGAGACAGUCCUGAGGUUGUAUUUAGCGUUGACAAUUUGGGCAGUAAACAAAGAUUUCUAGUCACAGGCUUCUAUAAGACAGGUACAGACUAGCACCACUCCCCAAAUAGUGAAGCACAAGAGGACAAAGAGUUAUGAAGAAAAGAAGGGCUCAGUUUUGGAGAUGUUGCAUUUGAAGACUGCAAGUACCAGACCGCGAUUGAAGGAAAGACAAAAAUGCAGAGACAUCAGCCUGGCAUGCAACCACUUUGGCU